CUUUUUGUGUGUUUCUUCUCUUUUCUUUUCCUUUCUUCCUUUUUUUUUCUUCCAGAAAGAGAAAGGAAGGAAGAAAGGGACAGGCCCAUGCAGCUUGAAAGGAAGAACACCAUAGAUGAAAGACAAAAAA
rnacentral:ribozyme from 11 species